GAAUAACCUGUGAUGAGGACACGUGAUUUCCUUUCCCGUUCCCCAGAGAGCUGACGGUAGCUGCGAGUCAGUGAACGGCAGGAACAUCAUAUCCCCUCUGAGGUGUCAUCCGAACAUUGCAGUAGGAGCGACCGGCUUUCCUCCGUUAUCGGGAACGGCGUAUGAUGGUACGCUGAAUAAGGUGCCGCUGUAUGUAAGUAUACACAUUUCUGGUAUGGAGUUAAAACACAGCGGAAUCAGGGUGGUAACGCGAGCAAUCUCGUCCCUGUA
rnacentral:ncRNA from 1 species